GCGGAUAUGGUCAAAUGGUAA
rnacentral:tRNA from 1 species